rnacentral:ncRNA from 1 species
AUAACUGGCUUGUGGAGUCAAGCGUUCAUAGCGAGUUGCUUUUUGAUCCUUCAAUGUCGACCCCUCCUAUUAUACUGAAGAAGAGCUCGAUAAGCGUUGGAUUGUUCACUCACUAAUAAUGAUCGUGAGCUGGGUUUAGACCGUCGUGAGACAGGUU